CAUUAUCUCGGAAAGUAUUAACUUUUUUCGGAAUUUGUUUUGUAGAACAUUUAAGGAACAAGCGGUUUUACAAUUUUACUUUUAUGUUAUUUUUCGUCACCUUUAUUCUUGAGGAUAAAGCCACUAUUUACUUUUAAUUUUCAGAUAGUGGCCUAAAUAAAAAUAUUUGGAUCAAUAAUAUAGGUGCUAUUUGAAAAUCUAUAGUAGGUAAUGGUUUUAUCCCCAAAAAUAGAGGUGUCAAAACAUAACAUGGAUUUCAAAUUGGCGAGCUGUUUGUUUCUUAAGUGGUCUAUCAAACGAAUUCCGAAGAUAGUCAAUACUUUCCGAAAUAGUGAGUGUGCCCGUUUAGAUGGGACACUCUGUACUUAUAUUUUCUCUUGUUUUCCGGAAAACCAAUUUUUCUUUAUUGUUAACAAUUGUAUACUAAAUUUUUUGUUUAUACGUUCAAAUAAAAUGAUAUUAUACAUUUAUAUAUGACUUCCUGAACGCGAUAUAUUUUAGUCUAACGAUCGCAUUAUGUCAUUUAUGUCGAUUAUAUGGACACGAGAUUUGUACAUAAAUUUAGUAGUGAGCAUAAUAUUUUAAAACAAAAACAAAAAACCAAACAUAAAAGAGAAAGGCUAAGAAAAUAGAUAUAACUAUACAAUCUUAUGUUAAGAAAAUUGUACUAUUUUUUUUUAUGGUUGACUUUUUUUUUGGCUUAUUUAAACACAUUCUGUUGAUGUUGACUGCCAUGGAUGAUAUCGUUAUGAUGCGCGGCUUGAAUAUUAUCACAGAGGAAAGGUAAAUGCUGCAAUCGUGUUUCAUACAAAAUCAAACAAAUUUCUAGUAUCGUCAAAAGCACCGCAAUGAUAUUUAUCCGG